GGUGGCUUAGUGGUUAAGAUUUUGGCUGUUAACCAAAAGGUUGGCAGUUCAAAUCCACCAGCCACUC
rnacentral:tRNA from 1 species